rnacentral:pre_miRNA from 1 species
GUGCAUUGUAGUUGCAUUGCAUUUGUUUGAAACGAAAUGUGCAAUGUUUCUACACUGCAACCG